rnacentral:rRNA from 1 species
CGGCAGGCUACCAUGCAAGUCGAGCGGUAGAGAGGUGCUUGCACCUCUUGAGAGCGGCGGACGGGUGAGUAAUGCCUAGGAAUCUGCCUGGUAGUGGGGGAUAACGCUCGGAAACGGACGCUAAUACCGCAUACGUCCUACGGGAGAAAGCAGGGGACCUUCGGGCCUUGCGCUAUCAGAUGAGCCUAGGUCGGAUUAGCUAGUUGGUGGGGUAAUGGCUCACCAAGGCGACGAUCCGUAACUGGUCUGAGAGGAUGAUCAGUCACACUGGAACUGAGACACGGUCCAGACUCCUACGGGAGGCAGCAGUGGGGAAUAUUGGACAAUGGGCGAAAGCCUGAUCCAGCCAUGCCGCGUGUGUGAAGAAGGUCUUCGGAUUGUAAAGCACUUUAAGUUGGGAGGAAGGGCAGUUACUUAAUACGUGACUGUCUUGACGUUACCGACAGAAUAAGCACCGGCUAACUCUGUGCCAGCAGCCGCGGUAAUACAGAGGGUGCAAGCGUUAAUCGGAAUUACUGGGCGUAAAGCGCGCGUAGGUGGUUCGUUAAGUUGGAUGUGAAAUCCCCGGGCUCAACCUGGGAACUGCAUUCAAAACUGUCGAGCUAGAGU